GACGAACGCUGGCGGCGUGCUUAACACAUGCAAGUCGCACGAAGUGGCGAACGGGUGAGUAACGCGUAAUCAACCUGCCCUUCAGAGGGGGCCAACAGUUGGAAACGACUGCUAAUACCGCAUACUGAAGGAGGGGAUUGCGUCUGAUUAGCUAGUUGGAGGGGGAACGGCCCACCAAGGCGAUGAUCCGUAGUCGGUCUGGGAGGAUGAACGGCCACAUUGGGACUGGGACACGGCCCAGACUCCUACGGGAGGCAGCAGUGGGGAAUCUUCCGCAAUUGACGAAAGUCUGAUGGAGCAAAGCCGCGGGAGUGAGGACGGCCUUCGGGUGGUAAAGCUCUGUUAAUCGGGACGCGGUACCGGAAUAGAAAGCCACGGCUAACGACGUGCCAGCAGCCGCGGUAAUUC
rnacentral:rRNA from 1 species